rnacentral:rRNA from 1 species
AUUGAACGCUGGCGGCAUGCCUUACACAUGCAAGUCGAACGGCAGCACGGGUGCUUGCACCUGGUGGCGAGUGGCGAACGGGUGAGUAAUAUAUCGGAACGUACCUUAUUGUGGGGGAUAACGCAGCGAAAGCUGUGCUAAUACCGCAUAAUCCCUAAGGGGGAAAGCGGGGGACCGUAACGCCUCGCGCAAUUAGAGCGGCCGAUACCUGAUUAGCUAGUUGGUGAGGUAAGGGCUCACCAAGGCAACGAUCAGUAGCUGGUCUGAGAGGACGAUCAGCCACACUGGGACUGAGACACGGCCCAGACUCCUACGGGAGGCAGCAGUGGGGAAUUUUGGACAAUGGGGGCAACCCUGAUCCAGCAAUGCCGCGUGAGUGAAGAAGGCCUUCGGGUUGUAAAGCUCUUUUGUCAGGGAAGAAACAGCAGCUCUAACACAGUAUGCGAAUGACGGUACCUGAAGAAUAAGCACCGGCUAACUACGUGCCAGCCGCCGCCGUAA